rnacentral:lncRNA from 1 species
UUCCUCUGUUUCAUUAGCACUUUAACCUGUAAUACAUAUGAACAUCACACUUAUAAUACACUAACAAUUGUCAUUUGAUAUCUUACUAUUCUUUGAUUACAUAACCUUUACACUCUAUUAAAUAUGUACAUGCCAAAAUAUAACUGCACUAUGACUCAGAGACUCAAAACAACCAGCUAUGAUGAUGGCCUUGAUAUCUGAUGUAGAUCUUUGAUAACUUCCGUUGCCCCUAUUUUAUCUACAACCUGCGUGAGGUAAAAACCAACACACUGAGCUAAUGCUUAGUGGGUGAUAGCAAUAAUAACAGAAUAAAACAAACAAGUUCACAUAUAUCGAUAAUCAAGUAAACCAUUACAAGCUAGUAGAUGCAAACAUGUUAACAUUCACCAAUAAGUUCACAAAAUCAAAUAUCAAUCUUAAUUAAGAUCUUAGCCCUUAUAAACACAUAGUAGGAUCGACUAGGUAGAUAAGGAGUUAUAUCGGUAGGCACAGGGUGCCGAACGGUAGGCUCAGAGGCCAAAACUGUGAUAGCAGGGCUCUAUGGCCAUGCUUAUGAGGUACUAGAUAUGUAACCUCAAAUAUAGAUCAUGUAUCGGUAGCAGUACUGUGAACUCUGUAUGUUUAUAUGGCAUGCCAUACCCUUAAACUAACCUCGACUCCUAUUACGUUUACCAGAGCCAAAUACCAUUAAUUCAAUGUAUCAAUGUCAAAUGCAUGCCAUUUGAAGCUAUUUCAAUUCAUUUUCCAAAGUACAUAUAUCAUAUGCCAAUAUUUACAAUAUGGAAAACUAAUGGCAAAUAGUGCAAAACUUUAUUGACUUAGCAUUUCAAUAUAGAAAACUACAUUCUUCCAUAUAUUGCAUAAAUUUUUUAGGUAGUUUAGAGUUACAAUUAAACUUCAGUUUCUUCAUAAGAAAUGUAUAUUUAUGCCUUAUCUUUCCAACAAGGUAUGGUUCAUACAAAUUUGAUCAUCCUAGCUUAAGUUAUGAAUUUUUCUUUACAAGCUGCUCAAUAAGGUAUUAAUCAGUCCAGUAUUGGUACCUGUUUAUAGUCUCACAAAACUUAUCAGAUUUAUGCAUUUCCAUACUAAUUAAAGCUUAAGUGUCUUCUACAAAUUUUUAGGUAUACUUCUUAAGAUUCAAUUGGUACUGGUCUUAACAAAUUUCACUAAGUACAAAAUUAGUUAUGGUAUCAUCAAUAGACUCUAUUCCGGAUGCACUACCACUGUAUCCAGUUUAGGUUCACUUACAAUUUUCAUCAUCUUACAUACAGAUUUCGAAUUUGUUCAAUCAUGAAAAUUUUAGCUCUUUGUCUUAGCUUUCAUUUGGUAUAUCUUAGGACUAAUUUCAAUAAAUACACAAUAAGUUAUGAACUUGUUAACACAAGCUGCCCUGUUAAAACCUAUUCUGCCAGAUUUGCACUUUUAGCUCUCAUGUUAAGUUUCUUUACUCUAAGCCUUUCAAACACCAUUUUAACAUACAUAUAACAUAUUUAUACAAUCAAAGCAACAUUUCCAGCAAGUAAAAUCACCCUCCAACUUCAUAUGUCCAUGAGAAAAUUCAAGGAAAACAGAAAAUCAAAGAAACACCAAACCUUUCUUUAAUUCCUCUUUCCUUUUUCCACUUCUACUCUCUAGCUAUCUCCUUUCCCUUUGAUGUUCCUUCACCUAGGUCAAUUUAUAUCUUAGGGAAGGAUUGAAUAAACUAUAAAUUAAAGCUUUAUAAUUCAAAUCCAUGCAUGAAGAAAUAAGAAGAUGCCAUUUCCUACACACUUCUAAGCUCACCUUUGAUUUUCAAGCUUGAUGUAUAUGGAACCCUAANN